rnacentral:rRNA from 1 species
GUAGGUGGCAAGCGUUGUCCGGAAUUAUUGGGCGUAAAGCGCGCGCAGGCGGUUCUUUAAGUCUGAUGUGAAAGCCCACGGCUCAACCGUGGAGGGUCAUUGGAAACUGGAGAACUUGAGUACAGAAGAGGAAAGCGGAAUCCCACGUGUAGCGGUGAAAUGCGUAGAGAUGUGGAGGAACACCAGUGGCGAAGGCGGCUUUCUGGUCUGUAACUGACGCUGAGGCGCGAAAGCGUGGGGGAGCAAACAGGAUUAGAUACCCUGGUAGUCCACGCCGUAAACGAUGAGUGCUAAGUGUUAGGGGGUUUCCGCCCCUUAGUGCUGCAGCUAACGCAUUAAGCACUCCGCCUGGGAGUACGGCCGCAAGGCUG